CGUCCCCUCCUUCCGCGCUUGCGCGCGCCCUCGGCCCCUCCUGCCUCACUCUUGUCCCGGCAGUUGGGUAGCAGGUGUGUGGCGGCCGGGCUUGGAGCAAGCGACCGAGCCAUUGGGGUGCUGCGGCGGUGGCGGAGCGGGAGAAGGAGCGGGACCCCGAGCACCGGGCUCUCUUCAGCCCGAGGCCCUGGGGGAAGUGCUCUGCCGCCCUUGCUUCCAGGAAUCUUUGCCCAGAGUCCAGCGCCUCCUUCCUGUCCAGUAUCACCUUCUGGUGGAUCACAGGUUGUCUUGAAUCUGCCUGUGCUGGCCAUGUUGUCUGAGAGACACCAACUCUGUUCCCCAAGUCCAUCACCUUGAAUGUGAUAAACACAUGAGCCAUGAGCAGCUUAAAUAUCUGCAGAAGGCUUGGCCUGGGAUAGCCAUAUACUGGACUGCUCUUGCUUUAGCUUCAGAUUUGGGAAUGCUCGGGAUACAGGCCUUCAGUCAGACCCAGAUGGUGAAUGGAAGUCUGGGACAUCCAUGGUGCCAGCCACUAGGACAUCAGCAGAGGAGCUUGUGACCCUGAUUCCACUUAUGCAGGGCUCCAUGGCAGUUUCCAGUCUUCAGAUCUUCAGUCUACCACCACAGACACACCUCCAACUACGCAGCUGAAUUUUGUGACUGAUUUGACAGCCAGUGAUGCCCCUGACCCAGCCUGCAUGGAUAUGAGAAGGACAUCAGUGAAUUGGGAAAAGAGGCAGAGAUGAGGAGAUACCUGCCCUGGGCCCCAGAUCUAUGUAGUUCAGUAGUCUCCAGCCCAU